AUGGCCUCUUUCGCCUCCGUUGCGACCCUCCCCUCUCCCUCCUGCUCCUCCUCCGACGAUGACUAUAACGACGCCAAGCCCCUCCCGCCUCUACCCGCAUCGAAAGAAAUACGCCCUCCUCCGCAGCACCAGCACCAGCACCAGCAGCAGCCGCAGCGGCGGCAGCUGGAGCGCGACUGCAACGUGGCCAUGAAGGCCGCGCGCGCGGGCGACGUCGACCAGGUGCUCGCCCGCUUCGCCGAGCUCAGGGCUUCAGGGACCCCCAGUGUGCUCUGCUACAACACUCUCAUGAACGCGCUCGUGGAAGCUGGCCAUGUGAAGGACGCCCACGACGCGUUCGGCGAAAUGCUUGCGGCAGGGGUGGCGCCCAAUGCGUCGUCCUGUAACAUCCUUCUCAAGCUGCACUCGUGGAUCUCUGACGACGACGACGACUCUCCGUACAAGGCGAUUCUCUGGAUGCGAGAGGCUGGGGUGGAACCUGACGUGGGUACGUACUCCACACUUAUCACGGGGCUGUGCCGUGCGGGGAGGCUCCCCGAGGCAUGGGGUGUGCUUGAGUGCAUGCUGGAACAGGGGUGCCGUCCCAUGGUGCAUACUUACACGCCCAUUGUACAGGGAUAUUGCCGCGAGGGCCGCGUCGGGGAGGCCAUGGACCUGAUGGCCACGAUGGAAGCUGCUGAUUGCCCUCCCAAUGUAGUCACCUACAAUGUUCUGAUCAGGGCUUUGUGUGAUGCCGCCAAAUUUAAGGAAGUCAAGCAGAUUUUAAAGGAGAGUAGAACCAAGGAUUGGACGCCCAGUAUUGUCACCUACAAUACGUUUAUGAACGGUCUCUGCCAGAAAGGUAAGGCUAAGGAAGCACUUGUGCUGCUGGGUGUUAUGCUGGGCAAAGGGUUGGAUCCCACAGAUUUUACUUUGAGCAUUCUUCUGAAUUGCCUUUGCCAUGCCUCAAGGAUUUCCCAUGCCAGAUUCUUGCUAGAGAGGAGUACGUCAUCGAGAUGGUAUGCUGGUGUUGUUGCAUACGACACUGUGAUGGGCAGGUUAUGUAAAAUGGGACAUUGGAGGGGUGUUCUGAAGCUGUUGACAGACAUGAUCAAGAAAGGUGUGAUGCCAAACACGAGGACAUUCAACAUUGUCAUUCGUAGUCUUUGUAUUGGUCGAAAGUGCUCCGCAGCCAAGAGCCUGGUCUGUAACCAAGGGUUUGCUGCAAAUGUCGUGACAUACAAUACACUGAUUGAUUGGUUUUUCUACCAUCGAAAGCGUAGUGAGGUGGGCCACCUAAUGUGUGACAUGGCAGCAGGAAAUAUUGCUGUAGAUGAAGUUACUUACACUAUAUUCGUUGUUGGAUUAUGCAGAGAUGGAAAUUUUGCUAAGGCCAGUAGUUGCUUUCUAGAAUCGCUAGAGAAUGGACUGUCAAUGGAUCUUCUUGGCGUCCUUAUAAACAGGCUCGCUUACAAUGGCAAAAUCCCGGAGACUAUUCGCAUAUUCCAGAAUAUGAGAGAAAGAAAAGGGCUUUUCCUAGAUAAUUCUAUAUUUGACCUCACAAUUGAAAGAUUCUGUAGGGCCGGUUAUUGUCAUGACAAAUAUAUACAUAAUCUUAACUCUAUUCUGGAUGCAAUGUUGGGAAAGCAGUGA
rnacentral:rRNA from 1 species